UGGGGUCCGCGUGAUGAUGGCUCAGCAGUUCCCCGGGACAGUGGCAGCAGAGAAGAGGAGACUGUACGCCCAGGACGAGGACCUAUCCAUUUUAUUCUAGAGCAUGAGGAUGGCAUGUUAAUACCUAGAGGACACCAUCUACUACUUGGUAUAUGUUCAGAUCAGCUUCUUGAACCAAUGGUGGGAAAACAUGGCGGCAUUGAACACCACAUCAAUGGAGGCCACGUACCAGGUGAUACAG